GCUUACGGCCAUACCACCCUCAACGCGCCCGAUCUCGUCCGAUCUCGGAAGCUAAGCAGGGUCGGGCCUGGUUAGUACUUGGAUGGGAGACCGCCUGGGAACACCAGGUGCUGUAAGCC
rnacentral:rRNA from 15 species